rnacentral:miRNA from 1 species
AGCCAGAAGAGGCAAGGACAUGGUCAGGGGAAGGGAAGGAUGCCUGUCCUCUAAAAUGCCUCACUGCAACCUCCUUUUUCCAGGGUACCUGUCAUGUUGCCGCUUCCUGGACG